rnacentral:rRNA from 1 species
GACGAACGCUGGCGGCGUGCUUAACACAUGCAAGUCGAGCGGUAAGGCCCUUUCGGGGGUACACGAGCGGCGAACGGGUGAGUAACACGCGGGUGACCUGCCCUCAGCUCUGGGAUAAGCCUGGGAAACUGGGUCUAAUACUGGAUAUGACUCCACGGUGCAUGUCGUGGGGUGGAAAGCCUUGUGCGGCUGAGGAUGGGCCCGCGGCCUAUCAGCUUGUUGGUGGGGUGANGGCCUACCAAGGCGACGACGGGUAGCCGGCCUGAGAGGGCGACCGGCCACACUGGGACUGAGACACGGCCCAGACUCCUACGGGAGGCAGCAGUGGGGAAUCUUGCGCAAUGGGCGAAAGCCUGACGCAGCGACGCCGCGUGA